rnacentral:rRNA from 1 species
CCUGAACGCUGGCGGCGUGGCUAAGACAUGCAAGUCGAACGGUGUAGCAAUACACAGUGGCGGACGGGUGAGUAAUGUAUCGCUAAUGUACCCUAGAGCCUGGGAUAGCUGACCGAAAGGGCAGGUAAUACCAGAUGAAAUACCUUGAUCGCAUGACCGAGGUCUCAAAGCAGCAAUGCACUCCUGGAGCAGGCGAUAUCGUAUCAGCUAGUUGGUGAGGUAACGGCUCACCAAGGCGAUGACGCGUAGCUGGUCUGAGAGGACGACCAGCCACAUCGGGACUGAGACACUGCCCGGACUCCUACGGGGGGCUGCAGUAACGAAUCUUCCGCAAUGCACGAAAGUGUGACGGAGCGACGCCGCGUGUAGGAUGAAGUCCUUCGGGAUGUAAACUACUGUCAGGGGAAAGAAAGUUCUGAUCUACCCCAGAGGAAGAGGCGGCUAACUCUGUGCCAGCAGCCGCGGUAAUACAGAGGCCUCGAGCGUUAGGCGGAAUCACUGGGCUUAAAGCGUGUGUAGGUGGAUGCCUAAGUGCCUUGUGAAAUCCCACGGCUUAACCGUGGAAUGGCUGGGCAUACUGGGUGUCUUGAGCCACUCAGGGGCUACCGGAACAAGCGGUGGAGCGGUGAAAUGCGUAGAUAUCGCUUGGAACGCCAAUGGUGAAAACAGGUAGCUGGGGGUGUGCUGACACUGAGACACGAAAGCCAGGGGAGCGAACGGGAUUAGAUACCCCGGUAGUCCUGGCCCUAAACGAUGUCCACUAGAUUAUGGCGGUUCUAACGCCGUCAUGGUCGUAGCAAAAGUGCUAAGUGGACCGCCUGGGAAGUACGGUCGCAAGGCUAA